UACGUAGGGUGCGAGCGUUGUCCGGAAUUAUUGGGCGUAAAGAGCUUGUAGGUGGUUUGUCGCGUCUGCUGUGAAAAUCCGGGGCUCAACCCCGGACUGCAGUGGGUACGGGCAGACUAGAGUGUGGUAGGGGAGACUGGAAUUCCUGGUGUAGCGGUGGAAUGCGCAGAUAUCAGGAGGAACACCAGUAGCGAAGGGCGGACCUUCUGGGACUAAUGACUGACUGAGACGCGAAAGCGUGGGGAGCAAACAGG
rnacentral:rRNA from 1 species